rnacentral:rRNA from 1 species
UGGGGAAUAUUGGACAAUGGGCGCAAGCCUGAUCCAGCCAUGCCGCGUGUGUGAAGAAGGCCUUCGGGUUGUAAAGCACUUUUGUCCGGGAAGAAAACCCUGGGGCUAAUACCCACGGGGAAUGACGGUACCGGAAGAAUAAGCACCGGCUAACUUCGUGCCAGCAGCCGCGGUAAUACGAAGGGUGCAAGCGUUACUCGGAAUUACUGGGCGUAAAGCGUGCGUAGGCGGUUUGUUAAGUCAGAUGUGAAAGCCCCGGGCUCAACCUGGGAACUGCAUUUGAUACUGGCGAGCUAGAGUACGGUAGAGGGUGGUGGAAUUCCCGGUGUAGCGGUGAAAUGCGUAGAGAUCGGGAGGAACAUCUGUGGCGAAGGCGGCCACCUGGACCAGUACUGACGCU